UAGGCUAGCAUUCGAGCUGCAUCAGCAUCCAUAUCUGCAGUGAAUGAUGAUCGACACAGCUUAACAAAAGAAUAAGAAGAAAGGGGAAGCAGCAAACGACAAAGAAAAAAAAAUGUAUAUAUAUAUAUAACAAUACCGACAGGGUUGAGAGGGCUUAGGCCGAUGUUGAACAAGAGUUGUUCCUUCAGGAGGUUAGAGAGAAGAGGAGCUGGAUAAGUCUCGAGUUUAUUGGAGGCUUCAAGUUCAUCCUGUCCCAGGCUAGAAGCCCGACGGAUGGAAUCCCUC
rnacentral:lncRNA from 1 species